CCGAUAGUCAUUUGUUCUUCUCUACCGGGAAUGUAGUGCAACCAGCUCCAUAAAUCCCUCCCAUAUAUAAUACCAAAACUCCCGAUAUCUUCCAAAAAACACAACCAUAAACCUCAGAUAAUCACAACCGAAAAAUAUAUCAAAAGUCGGCCAGUGCUUCCCCGACAGUCACUUGUUUCCCCGAGCUGCGCAGAAGAGGCUGCGCAGUGUCGACUCCCGAAGAAGAAAACCCAAAAUGGCUUCCAGUGAGACCGCCACCGACGACUCUCUUUACCCAAUUGCCGUACUUAUUGACGAACUACGAAACGAGGAUGUACAGUUACGGCUGAAUUCCAUCAAAAAGCUCUCCACAAUUGCUCUUGCACUCGGUGUGGAGCGAACUCGCAGUGAAUUGAUCCCCUUCUUGACUGACACAAUCUACGAUGAAGAUGAAGUGUUGCUCGCACUUGCAGAACAGCUUGGCACCUUCACCCCACUGGUUGGAGGGCCAGAAUACGUACACUGUCUCCUGCCCCCUCUGGAAUCCCUGGCUACAGUUGAAGAAACAGUUGUACGAGAUAAAGCAGUCGAUUCACUGAGAAGGAUUUGUGAAGAGCACAACACAGAAGAUUUGGAGUCACACUUUGUUCCUCUGGUGAAGCGACUGGCUGUGGGAGACUGGUUCACAUCCCGCACAUCUGCCUGUGGACUUUUCUCUGUUUGCUAUCCAAGGCUCUCCGUUGCAACAAAAGCUGAGCUGCGAUCACAUUUCCGUUCUCUGUGUCAAGAUGACACGCCCAUGGUACGACGUGCAGCAGCAGCCAAACUGGGAGAAUUUGCAAAGGUUGUAGAAGUGGAAUACCUGAAGACAGACCUUAUCCCCAUGUUCAUUGCACUUGCCCAGGAUGAACAGAGCACCCCUCAACUCUGGCAGGAUUCAGUGCGGCUUUUGGCGGUGGAGGCGUGUGUGAGCAUGGCUGGGCUCCUGCAGCAGGAGGACACAGAGAUGCUGGUGAUGCCCACACUCCGCCAGGCUGCUGAGGACAAGUCGUGGAGGGUGCGGUACAUGGUGGCAGAUCGCUUCAUUGAUCUCCAGAAGGCAGUGGGGCCUGAAAUCACCAAAACAGAUCUUGUUCCUGCAUUCCAGAGUCUGCUGAAGGAUGUUGAGGCUGAAGUUCGUGCAGCAGCUGCUGGAAAGGUUAAAGAUUUCUGCCAGAAUGUGGAUCCAAGUGUGCAGGAAAAUGUUAUCAUGAACAAUGUUUUACCUUGUGUAAAGGAACUAGUAACAGAUGGUAACCAACAUGUAAAGAGUGCACUAGCGGGUGUUAUCAUGGGCCUGUCACCCAUCCUAGGGAAAGAGAACACAGUCAACCACCUCCUUCCGCUAUUUCUGUCACAGCUGAAGGACGAAUGCCCAGAAGUCAGACUUAACAUUAUCUCUAAUCUCGACUGUGUGAAUGAAGUCAUUGGAAUUCAACAGCUGUCGCAGUCAUUGUUGCCUGCCAUUGUAGAGUUAGCAGAGGACACUAAGUGGCGUGUGCGCUUGGCCAUUAUUGAAUAUAUGCCCCUACUUGCUGGUCAACUUGGGGUCGAAUUCUUCAACCAGUCCCUCUCCAAACUCUGCAUGACCUGGCUAGUGGAUCAUGUAUAUGCUAUCCGUGAGGCUGCUACUAACAACCUAAGAAAGCUUGUGGAGAAAUUUGGUGCGGAUUGGGCCUCCCAGAAUGUGUUGCCCAAGAUUAAUGCCAUGUCACGGGACGGCAACUACCUUCACCGUAUGACCUGUCUUGCUUGUAUCAACGUUGUUGGUGAAGUUUGUGGAAAGGAUGUGACGACCAAGACUCUGCUCCCCACAGUCCUCUCCAUGGCAAAUGAUAAUGUUCCCAAUGUCAGGUUUAAUGUGGCAAAAACCCUACAGAUUAUUGGUCCCCAUGUGGAAAAAGAUGCCCUCCACUCGCAAGUUAAACCUGUGUUGGACAGACUCAAUGAUGAUGCAGAUACAGAUGUUAAAUACUUUGCAUCAGAGGCUCUAACAGAAAAUGGUCUAAUAUAAAUGGCCUUAUUUUUUCUAGCCAUUGGCUGAGAAAAAAAAGGUGCUGCUGUUAUAGUCUUCUGCCAUGACACCAUUGUUCGCGGCAUCGUAGGCAGACCAUAGCAUCCGUAACGUGCACAAGUCAGCAUCCCGUAAGCCAGAUCCAGGAGAGAGUUUUAGCCAUCACCAAAAUUUCUUAUUCUUAUCAUGAAAGGAAAAUGAGCAUUUGCUUGACCUGUUUUCUCUCUCUCGCUCUCUCUCACUCUCUCUCAUUUCUUCCCUCACCUUUUCUCUAGUUCCUUGUGUCCCUUUUAUCCUUCUGCUUGGUGGUGCUAUAUAACCACUAAUUCUUUCUUUUAUUCUUUAAUUCCCAAUGUAGCAAGAAUUAUUUAUUGAAAUACAAUGCUCUGUCACAAUGGUAUAUAUUAUUUUUUCUUUUUUUUUUCUUACCUUUUUUUUUUUUUUUUACUUAAAAGUACCCAAUUUGGGAUUUAUCUAUUCUUAUUGUGUAAUUUUGAUUUGACAUGACUGAUGUGUCUGUAGUGAGGAAAAGCAGUGGAGUUAGGAAUGAAGAUGAUAUUGGUAUUUAUUUAAUAUUCAUAUAACACUGUGCAGAACCCUUAUAUGAAAAUGUAGCUAAUAAAGCAAAUGGGGUUUCUGUUUUUUCUUUUUUACCAUUAUCAUCAUUAUCAAUGAUUUUUCGUGCGUUUUUCUUACCCCACUUUGAAAAUUCAGGCAUUCGGAGUCUUACAGCAGUGGACCAUGUUGCUUUCUUAGUUUCUUUUAUAUUUCCAUUAAUGGUGCAGAAGUGGAGGACUGUAGCAGCGUCUCUUUAAGAUAUACUUGUGAACUUCGUACAUUCUACCGUAAGAGUAGGAGUGAUUUUAAGUCGUUACAUAAUCACUAUUAUUUCUUAACCAGUCCCAAUCAUAAGCAGAAAUCAUUGUUAGUGUAAUAUUAUAAGUAAAAAAAAAAAAAGGAGCUCUAUCGGUCGUGAAUGCCAUGUACAUGUUGUAUAGAUAAAUUAUAUAAAUGCAUUAAUGUGUGUUGGUCAGUUCUACCUGUGUCACAUGACAGAGAAUUGUACUAAAACAAAAAAAAAAGAAAAAAAAAAAAAAGGAGAAAUAAUGAAAAGGAAAAAUAACCUGAGUAUUUGUGGAUAUACCAUCAUUUCUUGGGAUUACAUUUAGAGGAAUUUGCUUUUGUAUUCUUCAGUUGAUUCACAUACAACACAGGCUGCCCUUGCUUAGGAAGGUUGCUGCUAUCGAAAGAUCACUCCUCCAUACUUGUUUAAAUAAUACUCUGCAUUACCUCCCCCUUCCCCCUUCCUCCUCCAAUUACUAGGCCGUAAUAUAUAUUUUAAAAUGAGUAUAAUGUUGAGCAUAGACCCUUACCAUCGCUGCUCCAUAUAGAUAGGUUACCUAAUAUGUGUCAAGGAAUAUUAUUUUAUGAUUUUAUAUUUAUAUAAGUUUGCAGAAAUGAGGAUAAAAUGAAUGAGCUUUUUUUUAUAUAACUUUUAUCAUUAAUGUGAUCAGCUCCAAUGCUAAUGUAUUCUAUAACUUUUCUGUACAAAUAAAUAUUCCACAGUGGA
rnacentral:misc_RNA from 1 species